GAGGCGCCAGACCUUGGUCGCAGAGAGCCUAGUGAAUCAGAACAUCAAGACACUGUUUUUUCGCAAAUUCAAAGGUACGCCAAACAUGGGUGUCAAAAGCAAGCACAAUGUACACAUGUUUCUGAUUAUAGUCAAACAAAGCAACUCGAAGUUUGUUGAGAUAUACAUCUUUCCAUGCUCUGAAGCUUCUCUGUAGGUUCACCAUUUCCUCCUGAUUCCUUCUGGGAUUUAAUCAUGAUAUCAUCUCAGGGCUGAGCCGAAGAAUGGGAAGCCAAGGCUCCUGGAAAGAACACUGCAGAAUGAGAGAGAAUAUUCAUUCAUACAAACACUUGGGCCGCUUUGUAAUUAAAUAAGUGCAGCAAUCAAUCGAAGAAUUCUCUGCCUCUGAGUUGAAAGCAGAUUUGAAAGCAGAACUGAAAACGAAUGGCUAGAAAAGGACUGCAAGAGAACGGUUCUGCAUGGCAGCAUCACAAUUCCAUCUGUUCCAAAUGCAUCCACAGAGCCUUAGGAGCUGCUCAACUAAACUUUAAAAUGCUGCAGUAGACAUUUGUUUCCAUCCAAUUUUCCCAGCCCAUUUAAAAUGCUUUUGGAAUUUCUAGCUGAAAACAUGCUGCAUAAAUACACCGCUCCAGUCCUUCCAAGUCCAAUUGCCCCUUUAGUCUCCUUCCGGUCCAAUCUUAGGCCUCGAGUGGUCCAUGAAGCAGAUGUGCUGCAAUGACAAUUGCUUAAAAAAAAAUAUUUUAAAAGACGCUUCCCUCCCUCCCCCCCCCCCCCCGAGAACCAAAGGAUGGUUUGUUUUAUUAGCAGUCGAUUUGCACAGCGGUGGCAAUUCACUGUAUCUCUCCAGAAUUCUGAACAUUAUGUACUGUAUGUGGAAUCUUAACGCCGGCAACCAGCAAUCCGUCCUCACUGACUUCCAAAAUGAAAAGACUGUACUACCUUGUGUUGUGUGUGUGUGUUUUUUCUCCCUAGGCAGUCUUCGUGGGUUCUUAUUAGAUUAGUUGUAAAUUCUGCAAAACGGAGAAUACUUAUAAAAGGCGCAGACAGCAGUCAAACAUGUGAUAAAUUAGCUUCGAAAUAAUGGUGCUGAUGAUUGACAGAAGGUAAAAGGUUUCUGUCCUCCGGGAAUAAAAGUCUUCGUAAGUAAGACAAAGUGCAGCAAGCAGGAGACGGCACUCUAUACCUUUAGCUAUAGGUUUGCUCCAGCAACGUAUUCCAUUAAAAUUAUAGCUGUAAAUAAGUCAAUUAGAAAGUACAUAUGGAGAAACUAGAGGGGAAGCAGAGCCCAGAUUUCCUAUAAUCAUUUCAAUGCUUUUCCUAUCUCACCUGUUAUUAUUCAUCAUUUAAAAAAAAAACUGUGUCACAUUUACCACAUGAAAUUUUAAAAUACAAAUUAAAAUAGGAAUACCUAAUACAGAUAGUCUUCGUCUUACAAAUAUCCGUUUAGUGACCAUUCAAUGGCACUGAAAAAAGUGACUUAUGACUGUUUUUCACACUAACGACUGUUGCAGCACCCCCAUGUACACUUAGCAACUAGCAUAUAUUUAUGACAGUCAGAAUGUCCCGGGAUCAUGUGAUCUCCUUUUACGACAUUCUGGCAAGCAAAGUCAAUGAGGAAGCCAGAUUGACUUAACAACCACGUUACUAACUUAACUGCAGUGAUUCACUUAACAAGAAAGAUCGUAAAAUGGGGCAAAACUCAUUUAACAACUGCCCUGCUUAGCGACAGAAAUUUUGGGCUCAAUUCUGGUCAUAAGUCAAGGACUACCUGUUUGAGGAUGCUGUCACAAAUAAAAUCUAUGUAAAGAACUAAGAUGUUUUUAUUUUCUUUGCAUCACACAACUUAGAUAUCAGCUAUAGGAGCUGUAGCUUAUAUCUGGGUGUCAGCUAUGGGUAAGCCUUCCCUUCCCUUGUGUUUCUUUUGUUAUCAAUUUUGAGGGUGGUGUUCUUAUGUUCUAUAGUUGUAGACUUGCUUCCAAUUAUACUGAGAAGGCAGCCCCUUUUCUAUAGAACAGUUUGGAGCAAAAUAUAUGGGUUGUUUAUUAUGCUUAAGGGGCAACCUUUCUAAAGGCAUUGUGAUCUGUUGGGAAAGAAAAUGAAAGAAUAAACCAUUUCUUCUCAGAAAAAUGUAACUAAUAAAUCAGGGCUGUAGAAGGUGGGGUUUUUGUUGUUGUUGUUGUUCACUUGUUGAUUGCUUGGUUGCCCCCUUAGCUUUAUGUAUACCUUUUACAAAUGAUACAAUUGUGCAUGUUUUUCCAUACAUGUACACCACCUCAUUAUCAUACAUUUAUUCUUGGGUGUUUUCCCUUGUUGACAAAAAUGUUCUAUAUUUAUCAAAAGAGGAAAACGCCUAUAAAAACUCUUUAGUGCUGCUGAAAUGUUGCACAACGGUCCUUUGAAUUAUUUUCCAUAGGUCCACCAUCUAGUCCAGGGGUCAGCAACCUGCGGCUCCGGAGCCACAUGUGGCUCUUUGGGCCCUCUGCUGUGACUCCCUAUCCAGUGAUCCCACCAUUGGAUGGCCCCACUCCUCGCCCUCCCCUCCCAGUCACUUCUUGCCUGGCCUGAGAAGGUAAGGGCGACGGUGGGGGAUGGAGAAGCGGCCAGGGCAGAGACAGAGAGAUACAGAGAGAGAGGGAGAGAAAGGGAGGAAAGAGGGAGGGAGGGGAGAGAGAGAGAUGUCAAAAGGAUUUUGUGGUUCCCAGUGUUUUUUAACAACUGGUUCUCUGCCCUAAUGACCAAAUGGGUAGGCAUGGCUAGAGGGGUCAUGUGACUGGUGGAAGUGAGUGACAUUGAGUUGGCCACGCCCACCCAGGUUUUGUGACUCCCAGUGUUUUCUUUUCUCUGGGAAACGGGUCCAAAUGGCUCUUUGAGUAUUUAAGGUUACAGACCCCUGAUCUAGAAAAAGAGAGAAGAGCAUUUCAGAAGCCCAGGCUUGGCUUGGUAUAUGAUCAAUAAAAGUGACACAAAAAUAUACAUUUUCAAGGAAAAAAUAUUUUUGAUUUCCAUUUUCUUCAGAAGCCCAUGUGAUAAAUUCUAGGAACCAGGAUGGAUGUUCUUAAACACCCAUUCUGUUUUCAGUGAACAAGUGAUGUGGGAAAGUAAGGAAUGGUAAGAUGGCUAGACUGUAGCACUUUUCCAAUCUUUUGGCUCAGGUACAACCAGGUGUUUUAGUGUCAUUUUUGCCAAAAUUGCCAAGUGCUUGCUUGGGUCGAUCGUUGUUUUACAUCAUCCUGGACAUGAUCCUCCAGGCAUUGACAUUCAAUAAUAUCAAUCACAGGAUAUCAAUUGGAAGACCUGCAAGUGACAGCUUGUAUUAGAAAAUAAUAUGUUUAACUCCUCCUGUGCUCUUUGAAGUAACUUUCUAACAAUAGUAUUAUUCCUAUUGGGAAUAAUAAAUGGGAAAUACAGUAAAGGGGUAACUCACUUAAUAAUACAUAUUAUAACAGCAGCAAGAAUGGGUUUUGCCCAAAAUUGGAAAAAUAAGGAAACUCCUCUAGAAGAUGAAGUGAUCAAAAAAAUUUUGACAUGUGAGGAAAUGGAUAGAUUAACCUUGGAAUUGAAAAAUAAAGGUGAGUCAGAAUACCACGAGAUAUGGAACAAAUUUUAUCAAUGGUUGGAAUAGAAAAGAGGGUUGAAAAAAAAAAGAACUGACUAUAAUUCAUAAAAUGGAGAAUUAAGGUUAUGUAUGUAACUAUAAUAGAAUGAUAAUGGAUAAAACAAAUGUAUAAGUAAUAUAGAUAGAAGAAGGAUGUCUUUAUAUAUGUAAAUACUGAACAGACUAAUUGUAUAUAAGUAAUAAGGUAUAUAUGAUACUUAGCUUUCAUUUUAGCAUGUAUGGCAAAGAGAAUGCCAGGACGAUUACACCGUGUCCAAUUUUUUAAUAUGUGUGUAAUAAAACUUUAAUAA